CCAAUAGCGUAUAUUAAAGUUGUUGCAGUUAAAAAGCUCGUAGUUGAAUUUCGGGAUCAAUAUGUUGGUCGUGCCUUGGUACGUACUGGCAUUAUUGGUUUCUACCUUCUGAAGAACCUCGAUGUCAUUAAUUUGGUGUCUUGGGGAAUCAGGACUGUUACUUUGAAAAAAUUAGAGUGUUUAAAGCAGGCUCGCGCUUGAAUACAUUAGCAUGGAAUAAUGAAAUAGGACGUUUGAUUCUAUUUUGUUGGUUUCUAGGAUCGACGUAAUGAUUAAUAGGGAUAGUUGGGGGCAUUAGUAUUCAAUUGUCAGAGGUGAAAUUCUUGGAUUUAUUGAAGACUAACUACUGCGAAAGCAUUUGCCAAGGAUGUUUUCAUUAAUCAGGAACGAAAGUUAGGGGGUCGAAGACGAUCAGAUACCGUCGUAGUCUUAACCAUAAACUAUGCCGACUAGGGAUCGGAUGAUGUUAAUUUUUUAAUGACUCAUUCGGCGCCUUACG
rnacentral:rRNA from 1 species